rnacentral:miRNA from 1 species
UUGCUUAGUCGUUAACCAUAG